rnacentral:rRNA from 1 species
GGUGAACCUGCGGAAGGAUCAUUACCAAAAGAACCAUCCGAGAAAGGAACGGUGGGGACGAAGUCCGCUGCCCGUAGUUGUGGAAUACGUCCGGUUGAACAGCCCAAUGGGUGGUCAGAUUCUCCCGGCGCCGGCAUUCCCCUCUGCCGUGGUAGACUCGUACUCCUCAUCGUUCCGAACCCAAACCCUCUGUGUACCCUUCCUCCUUGCUUCCCCCGAACAACUGGUUCCGGCCAGCGGGGGGAGAAACCAAAUCGAAACUCUUUUGCAAAACCGCCGUCUGAUUAAAAACAAAAUACAAAAAGUUAAAACUUUCAACAACGGAUCUCUUGGUUCCCACAUCGAUGAAGAACGCAGCGAAAUGCGAUAAGUAAUGUGAAUUGCAGAAUUCAGUGAAUCAUCGAAUCUUUGAACGCACAUUGCGCCUCCUGGUAUUCCGGGAGGCAUGCCUGUUCGAGCGUCAUAAAAACCCCUCCGCCUCGGAUUGCUUGCGGUCCCUGGCGGGUUUUGGUCAUGUGGAUUCCCCGUGCUUUUUGGGCAUGCGGACGGGCUCCCACUGCUGAAAUACAUAAUGUUCCCAGCCGACGUUGGUGAUUAGUUUCACCGGCAGGAUUCGUGGCAGGUAGACCGAUGGCGUCAACCGUGGAGUCAUGAGGGUACAAACCCCCCCCUUUGCAACGUAAAGUUGCUCUGGCAGUUAAAUCUGUAGGCCUGACGGCCUGAGGGGCGGGACCUCCCACUCGCAGGCGUCACGGCCACGAUAGCGGGGCGUUUAAACGGGAAUCCGAUCCCGCCUGCACAGGUGGUUGAAGAUCCUUGUUGGGCUAGCAACCCCUAAACACAUU